UACAGAGGUCUCAAGCGUUGUUCGGAUUCAUUGGGCGUAAAGGGUGCGUAGGCGGCGCGGUAAGUCGGGUGUGAAAUCUUCGGGAGCUUAACUCCGAAACUGCAUUCGAUACUGCCGUGCUUGAGGACUGGAGAGGAGACUGGAAUUUACGGUGUAGCGGUGAAAUGCGUAGAUAUCGUAAGGAAGACCAGUGGCGAAGGCGGGUCUCUGGACAGUUCCUGACGCUGAGGCACGAAGGCCAGGGGAGCAAAACGGG
rnacentral:rRNA from 1 species